rnacentral:rRNA from 1 species
CAUGUAGGCGGAUAUGCAAGCUUGGUGUGAAAGGCAGGGGCUUAACUCCUGGACUGCGUUGAGAACUGCAUAACUAGAGUAACUGAGGGGCAACCGGAAUUCCAGGUGUAGGGGUGAAAUCUGUAGAUAUCUGGAAGAACACCAAUGGCGAAGGCAGGUUACCAGCAGAUUACUGACGCUGAGGUGCGAAGGUGCGGGGAGCGAACA